rnacentral:rRNA from 1 species
GACGAACGCUGGCGGCAUGCCUAACACAUGCAAGUCGAACGAUGCUUUCGGGCAUAGUGGCGCACGGGUGCGUAACGCGUGGGAAUCUGCCCUUGGGUUCGGAAUAACAGUGAGAAAUUGCUGCUAAUACCGGAUGAUGUCUUCGGACCAAAGAUUUAUCGCCCAGGGAUGAGCCCGCGUAGGAUUAGCUAGUUGGUGGGGUAAUGGCCUACCAAGGCGACGAUCCUUAGCUGGUCUGAGAGGAUGAUCAGCCACACUGGGACUGAGACACGGCCCAGACUCCUACGGGAGGCAGCAGUGGGGAAUAUUGGACAAUGGGCGCAAGCCUGAUCCAGCAAUGCCGCGUGAGUGAUGAAGGCCUUAGGGUUGUAAAGCUCUUUUACCCGGGAUGAUAAUGACAGUACCGGGAGAAUAAGCUCCGGCUAACUCCGUG